rnacentral:rRNA from 1 species
GAUGAACGCUGGCGGCGUGCUUAACACAUGCAAGUCGAACGGAAAGGCCCCUGCUUGCAGGGGUACUCGAGUGGCGAACGGGUGAGUAACACGUGGGUAAUCUGCCCUGUACUUCGGGAUAAGCUUGGGAAACUGGGUCUAAUACCGGAUAGGACCACAUUUUGGAUGGUGUGGUGGAAAGUUUUUCGGCGUGGGAGGAGCUCGCGGCCUAUUAGCUUGUUGGUGGGGUGAUGGUGUACCAAGAGGUCGUCGGGUGGCCGGCCUAAGAGGGUGUACGGCCACAUAUGGAGUAGGAUACAGGGCAGAGUCCUACGGGGGGCGGCAGUGGGGAAUAUUGCGCAAAAGGGGCAAGCGUGUUGUAGAGACGCCGCGUGGGGGGGGAGGGCCUUCGGGUUAUAAACUCCUUUCGCGAGGGAGGAAGCGUUUUUGUGACGGUACCUGGAGAAGAAGCACCGGCUAACUACGUG